rnacentral:rRNA from 1 species
CGGGUGCACUGAUCCAGCCGGGCCUUUCCCUCUGUGGAACCCCAUGGCCUUCACUGGCUGUGGUGGGGAAACAGGACUUUUACUUUGAAAAAAUUAGAGUGCUCCAGGCAGGCCUAUGCUCGAAUACAUUAGCAUGGAAUAAUAGAAUAGGACGUGUGGUUCUAUUUUGUUGGUUUCUAGGACCGCCGUAAUGAUUAAUAGGGACAGUCGGGGGCAUCAGUAUUCAAUUGUCAGAGGUGAAAUUCUUGGAUCUAUUGAAGACUAACUACUGCGAAAGCAUUUGCCAAGGAUGCUUUCAUUGAUAAGGAACGAAAGUUAGGGGAUCGAAGACGAUCAGAUACCGUCGUAGUCUUAACUAUAAACUAUGCCGACUAGGGAUCGGACGAUGUUAUUCUUUGACGCGUUCGGCACCUUUCGAGAAAUCAAAGUGCUUGGGCUCCAGGGGGAGUAUGGUCGCAAGGCUGAAACUUAAAGAAAUUGACGGAAGGGCACCACCAGGGGUGGAACCUGCGGCUUAAUUUGACUCAACACGGGGAAACUCACCAGGUCCAGACACAGUGAGGAUUGACAGAUUGAGAGCUCUUUCUUGAUUCUGUGGGUGGUGGUGCAUGGCCGUUCUUAGUUGGUGGAGUGAUUUGUCUGCUUAAUUGCGAUAACGAACGAGACCUUAACCUGCUAAAUAGCCCGUACUGCUUUGGCAGUUCGCCGGCUUCUUAGAGGGACUAUCGG